rnacentral:rRNA from 1 species
CCUACGGGUGGCUGCAGUGGGGAAUAUUGGACAAUGGGCGAAAGCCUGAUCCAGCCAUGCCGCGUGUGUGAAGAAGGCCUUCGGGUUGUAAAGCACUUUCAGUGGGGAAGAAAGCCUUGGGGCUAAUACCCUCGAGGAAGGACAUCACCCACAGAAGAAGCACCGGCUAACUCCGUGCCAGCAGCCGCGGUAAUACGGAGGGUGCGAGCGUUAAUCGGAAUUACUGGGCGUAAAGCGCGCGUAGGCGGUCUGAUAAGCCGGUUGUGAAAGCCCCGGGCUCAACCUGGGAACGGCAUCCGGAACUGUCAGGCUAGAGUGCAGGAGAGGAAGGUAGAAUUCCCGGUGUAGCGGUGAAAUGCGUAGAGAUCGGGAGGAAUACCAGUGGCGAAGGCGGCCUUCUGGACUGACACUGACGCUGAGGUGCGAAAGCGUGGGUAGCAAACAGGAUUGGAUACCCGUGUAGUC